rnacentral:lncRNA from 12 species
GGGGGGGGGGGGGGGGGGGGGGGGGGGGGGGGGGGGGGGGGGGGGGGGGGGGGGGGGGGGGGGGGGGGGGGGGGAGGGCGGCGCGGGCCGGGGCCGGGGCCGGGCCCAUCCUGCCCACAGGGCCCGCCCCAUCCUGCCCACAGGGCCGGGGAUAGGCCGUGGGCAUGGAGCAACGCCCCAGCUUCCGCAUUGGGCGGAACCACCCGCUCACCGCCCCAGCGAGCUCCGGCCCGAAACUCCUUCUGCCGCAAAAGUGACAGGGAGCGAACACACUUCGGCCACAGCAGCAGCAGUCAUGAUUGUUUCAGCUGGAUCUCCCCUGCAUUGUUCCUACUGUGCCUUCCAAGAAGAUACUGAAACUGCUGCUUCCGAAAUGGCAGCAUCAUUCCCACAGCCUCAUACUCAGCGGUGGAAAAAAAACUCUAGUUCCCAGAAGCUUCCAUCCUAGGUCCUGGAAGUCCUCAACUCAUCUGGCAGGUUCUGGAGUGCUUAUGUCCCCAUCUGAAAAAGGCAGGCAAUACAGAAGGCACAGGAAUAUUCCAAGGGCUGGAAUACAAACAGGUCUCUGCCCAGCAGGAGGGGCAAGGCAAAUGCAGAAAACUGAGGAGUUAGAUACUGAACACUGGGAACACAAAGCAUGCAGAUGCUCGGUGUGCAGCAGUUCCUGAAUAUGCCAUUUACCACUGUAUCAGGAACAGCUGUGGAGUCCUCUGACCUUAUACAGAAGACUAAAUAAAAAUGCUUUUCUUUGCAAUCUUUUUUUUUUUCUAUAGGACACUGAUUUGAAUUAAAAUAUAUUCAAUCUCCUAGACAUAAAACCCAUAACAAAGCACUCCCCUUUGCUUAGUUAAGGAAGUUAAUGAGACUUUAGAAAUUCUGUUACCUUGAGCUAAACAUCACCAGACCUAUACCACAAUAUUCUCAAUACGGUUACUAGAAUUUACUGCAUCUGCUGACAAUAAAUCCUGGUAUAUCCAACUCUAUAAUUAUUUCUGUGUUACUUCGAGUCCAAAUUAAAGAGUAUAAGACGACAUGUUCAAGUAAACAGAAUAUUUU